rnacentral:rRNA from 1 species
GAUGAACGCUGGCGGCGUGCCUAAUACAUGCAAGUCGAGCGAACGGACGAGAAGCUUGCUUCUCUGAUGUUAGCGGCGGACGGGUGAGUAACACGUGGAUAACCUACCUAUAAGACUGGGAUAACUUCGGGAAACCGGAGCUAAUACCGGAUAAUAUUUUGAACCGCAUGGUUCAAAAGUGAAAGACGGUCUUGCUGUCACUUAUAGAUGGAUCCGCGCUGCAUUAGCUAGUUGGUAAGGUAACGGCUUACCAAGGCAACGAUGCAUAGCCGACCUGAGAGGGGGAUUGGCCAACACGGAAAUGAGAAAAGGUCCAGACUCCUAAGGGAGGCAGCAGGAGGGAAACUUUCGGAAAGGGGGAAAGCCUGACGGAGCAACGGCGCGUGAGGGAUGAAGGGCUUCGGAUCGUAAAAACCUGUUAUUAGGGAAGAACAUAUGUGUAAGUAACUGUGCACAUCUUGACGGUACCUAAUCAGAAAGCCACGGCUAACUACGUG